rnacentral:rRNA from 1 species
GGACUACUAGGGUUUCUAAUCCUGUUUGCUCCCCACGCUUUCGCAUCUCAGCGUCAGCAAUGAUCCAGCGAGUCGCCUUCGCCACUGGUGUUCCUGCGAAUAUCUACGAAUUUCACCUCUACACUCGCAAUUCCACUCGCCUCUAUCAUGCUCCAGGCCGCCAGUAUCGAAGGCAAUUCCAGAGUUGAGCUCUGGGCUUUCACCCCCGACUUAACGGCCCGCCUACAUGCGCUUUACGCCCAGUAAUUCCGAACAACGCUAGCCCCCUUCGUAUUACCGCGGCGGCUGGCAC